rnacentral:rRNA from 1 species
AUUGAACGCUGGCGGCAGGCCUAACACAUGCAAGUCGAACGGUAACAGGAAGAAGCUUGCUUCUUUGCUGACGAGUGGCGGACGAGUGAGUAAUGUCUGGGAAACUGCCUGAUGGAGGGGGAUAACUACUGGAAACGGUAGCUAAUACCGCAUAACGUCGCAAGACCAAAAAGGGGGACCUUCGGGCCUCUUGCCAUCGGAUGUGCCCAGAUGGGAUUAGCUAGUAGGUGGGGUAACGGCUCACCUAGGCGAAGAUCCCUAGCUGGUCUGAGAGGAUGACAAGCCACACUGGAACUGAGACACGGUCCAGACUCCUACGGGAGGCAGCAGUGGGGAAUAUUGCACAAUGGGCGCAAGCCUGAUGCAGCCAUGCCGCGUGUAUGAAGAAGGCCUUCGGGUUGUAAAGUACUUUCAGCGGGGAGGAAGGGAGUAAAGUUAAUACCUUUGCUCAUUGACGUUACCCGCAGAAGAAGCACCGGCUAACUCCGUG